rnacentral:rRNA from 1 species
GGAGCAUUGUGCACACUUGUCAUUUUUAUAUCUCCACCUGUGCACAUUUUGUAGACCUGAAUAAUCCUUUCUGACUGCGCAAGUCAGGUUUGAGGAAUUGACUUUUUAGUCUUUCCUUGCAUUUUCAGGCCUAUGUUUCUUCAUAUACUCCUUAAUCUAUGUUAUAGAAUGUAACAGGCCCUGUGUGCCUAUAAUUUAUACAACUUUCAGCAACGGAUCUCUUGGCUCUCGCAUCAGUAUGAAGAACGCAGCGAAAUGCGAUAAGCUAAUGUGAAUUGCAGAAUUCACGUGAAUCAUCGAAUCUUUGAACGCACCUUGCGCUCCUUGGUAUUCCGAGGAGCAUGCCUGUUUGANUGUCAUUAAUAUAUCAACCUCUUCAGUCUUUUGCUUGUUGAGUGUUGGAUGUGGGGGUGUUUUGCUGGCCUUUUGAGGUCGGCUCCUCUGAAUAUGCAUUACCUAGAACAAUUUGUUGACUCCGUUCAUUGGUGUGAUAACUAUCUACGCUAGUUGACGGG